rnacentral:rRNA from 1 species
CGGCGGACGGGUGAGUAACACGUGGAUAACUUACCUAUAAGACUGGGAUAACUUCGGGAAACCGGAGCUAAUACCGGAUAAUAUAUUGAACCGCAUGGUUCAAUAGUGAAAGACGGUUUUGCUGUCACUUAUAGAUGGAUCCGCGCCGCAUUAGCUAGUUGGUAAGGUAACGGCUUACCAAGGCAACGAUGCGUAGCCGACCUGAGAGGGUGAUCGGCCACACUGGAACUGAGACACGGUCCAGACUCCUACGGGAGGCAGCAGGG